UACCAUAAAUUGAUUUCCUUUAGUUUUAUGUAGUUUUUUAAAUCAUAGUUUAAUUGCUAUUGUAUUGAUGCUGUAUGACCAAGGUCUAUAAACAAAAGGUCAGGACAUGAUUCCAUGAUGCAUUGGCAGUUGCCAUAUUGAUUCUUUUGGUAGACCAAAUUUGGCAAUCUGUUUUUUUUCAAACUCAAUUAGCUGGAUUUCAUGUUAACUAUUUUUGUUUUAAAUGGUUUGGUGUUUGGCACCAAACUGUACAAAUUUUUCAGUAAAAGUUCUGUUUUCUCACUGACAAAGCCAGGAGAGCUAAAUGGUUUCAAUAUUGCAGAGAUAAGUGGAAACAACUGAGAAUUUCAGGCUGUAUGAGGUUAGUGGAUAAAAUAAUGUUGAAAAAAUAAAUUUGUGAAGUGUUUACAAUAACUUUUGUAAUGUAAUGUAAUGUAUUGUAACUGAAUCUUUUAGAUACAUUUUUGAAGAGUCACAAGUUGAAGUUAAAAGAAUGAAUAGGAGAAAAUUACUGCAGCUGAUAAACAAAACUUAAAUGUUUAACAUCUUGAAGUAAAUGUCGAAAUAGCCUCUGAAUGAAAAGAUACUCUUUUGGAAUUUUAUAAGGAAUUCUGUGGCUUGAAUUCGAAGGAACUUGCAGUAAAGAGCGUGAAAUCUGUACCCUGACCAUGGAACUUAAGGUACCAGAAUGGCGAUUCUAUAAGGAACAAUAGCGUCCUGAUCUUGGUAGGACAGAUGGUCAACUUUUCGUUGCUGCAAUCGACUUUCAUUACAGUAUAUUAAAAUCAGUCAUUAAAUUUAUGGUAACAUCAGUACCAACUGUGACCCCCCUAUAUAGUAAAAGAAGUAUUCAUGUUUUCUCUCGUGAUUUAAUGUUGAGAAUAAUUUAAUAUUUUUUAAUUCGAUAAAAAGAUGUGUUACGAAAUUGUGUUACUGUUACUAGAUUGAUCUAUCGACUGGUUGGCCACUCUUAUCUUAAACACAUGGCCAUUAUACACUGGUUGCCCUGCAAGGUGAUGGCUGUUGGAUAAUAUUUUCAGCCAUUUGUUGUUAUCAAAACAGUCUUGAAUCAGUGUGAUCGUUAUAAGCGGGAUUAUUAUCUGUAGAAUUUCGAUAUCAAUUAUGGCAUGGGACUGACAAGUGAGACCAAGUAUACUACUACCAUGUAUAUUUAACACUUUAAACAAGUCUAACACUGGAAAUAACUGCAUAGACUUGUUUGAAAAAAAAUUUUUUUUCAAAAUGUUACCGAGGAAAUAUGAAGAAGUCAUACUUGAUGACGUUAGCUAAAUCUGUAGACUGCAGCAUCUUUCCAUGGAUUACAGGGAAACAACUUUUGAAUUUGUUUGGAAUCUUUUGUUCGAGAAUAUAAUACAGACAUUGAGCGUAAGGAUACUGCUGUCGUAGACAUGUUAGUACAAAGAAUUUUCAUGGACGGACAUACUUCCGACAUUUCCAUUGUUUCAACUGAAGUACACCUUACAAACCCUUUGGAGCAAGAAUUGAUGGUAUAUUUAGGUCGUAAUACGAGGUACUGCUUUGUUGAGGGUGACGACCAAUAUGGCAUCAUUUGUGAGGGAAGCUUUGUCAUAAUCUGACAAUGAGGAACAAGCUUAAAAUAUCUGAAAUGUAACAGAGAAUAUGAGCAGUUUUUCAAUGGAAGAUCGAAAGUUGCGAAGAAUGUGGAAGAAAUAAUGUAUAAUUCUUACACAGACUAAAGUAUUUGUCUUUAUAUGCGAUAUAAUAUGAAUUGUUUUAUAAAAAGGAUAAAAUUUACUUUAAUCUUUCUAUUUUAAAUUCUGUACUGUUUAUGUAAAGGAUUAUUGGCGUUUAAUUAGGGAAGCUUAUUGAUGAGACAAACAAUGGAAAUUUGAAUACGAAAUCUGAUUGGUAGAAGUUUGAAGAUAAUGGACCAAUAAGAAAACUCUUUCCAUAGAUCACUAUAUAAGAUGAACCCCUUUCAGUAAAUAUAAGCUUUUGUGUAAUUUUUCUCGAAGGUCUGUAUCUAGUCAUUUCAAAAUCAUGUCGAGCAUUCGAAUUUAUAAGAAACCUAAAUCCGAGACGUCUGAGAAACGUGUUCUAAAAGUUUUAGUAGAUUUUGAUAAAAUAGAGCUAAAAUUAGUUACAAAACUGAAUAUACUUCAAACUAAAAUCAACGAAAAGAGAAAUAUUGUUGAAAAAAGUUCACAGACUAACCAAAAAGAAUUAUGUAAAGUAUUGAAGAAAAUACAUAAAUAUGAAGAAAAAUUUGACAGGAAAACAUAUGAAUUAGCCUGUAUACGGCUACAACGAAGAGUAGCAAUAAUGGAGGCGAGAAAGUAGUGAAAUUAGCCGUGUUCUCUUUCCUGCUGGUUCCCGUAAUUUGAUUCGGAUUUAAUGUUCUCGUCAUUGGAAACAUGAAGAUUAUUGUCUAAUGAAUUUUGUGUAUCUGUCUAGUCAAUUUUAUUAAAUGCAAUAUUUUGAAUAGAGUUAA